rnacentral:rRNA from 1 species
UACAGAGGUCUCAAGCGUUGUUCGGAUUCAUUGGGCGUAAAGGGUGCGUAGGUGGCGCGCUAAGUCAGGUGUGAAAUCUCGGAGCUUAACUCCGAAACUGCAUUUGAUACUGGCGUGCUUGAGGACUGGAGAGGAGACUGGAAUUCACGGUGUAGCAGUGAAAUGCGUAGAUAUCGUGAGGAAGACCAGUGGCGAAGGCGGGUCUCUGGACAGUUCCUGACCACUGAGGCACGAAGGCCAGGGGAGCAAACGGG